UGAAGUGCGAAAACUAGUGUGAAUUGCAUUAUCUCGUGAAUCAUCGAGUCUUUGAACGCAUCUUGCACUUUUCAGGUCUCCUGAAAAGUAUACUUGUUUGAGUAUCAUAAACGCUUUUCCAAGGCAGCUUCUGCUGUCUCUUGGGUAUUGGGACGUCAAGUGCGCGCGUCAGCGCUGCAUCUUGUGUCCUUUAAUUGAUACGGGACACGCUAGCGUCGUCGCUUGCAGUGUGUGUGCGUGCGCUACGCAUGCAUGCGCUCUCAAGCGCCGAUGCGCCCCAACAACCAAAUGUGAGAUAAUAAAUGUGUCGCACAAAGUAGCUGUUGGCGGUUGCAUGGCCCUACGCUCAGAGCGCGCUUUGCGGCGCGCUCAACCUUUGAUUCGUGAUCUCAAAUCAAGU
rnacentral:misc_RNA from 1 species